UAUAAGUUUAUCAACGCUUUUUUAAGGCGAGGAUAUGGAUUUACAUUCUAUGAGACAUGCGUCGAUGAAUGAGACGUAAGGGACCCUGUUACGGGCCCUUACAUUAGGUUCACAGGUGUGUGUGGGAUUAAAGGCUCGGGUGUGCACAUGCCCCGAAAGGCCAGCUACAACCCUCGCCGGUAAUUCGAUAAUGAUCCUUCCGCAGGUUCACCUACGGAAA
rnacentral:misc_RNA from 1 species